CACAAGGGCGGCCUGACUCCAGCGCAUCGUGGGGCGGGCGGGGCUCGCUUUGGCUUGCCGCGCACCGGGCCGACAGGAGUCCGGCCCGGUCUGCCCACAACGGGCCCACGCGGCCGAGGCCUCCUCUCGCCCCCGGCCUGCUGCUUAGCUACCGCGUCUCCGGCUGUUUCCCGUUCAGAUUGCGGCUGCUGUCCCCGCUCCCUGUGCUCGCCAAUGGGGGCGCGGCAUCGGAAUGCUCAGGGGCAACCACGGCUCAGAAACCAAGAGAGCGCCCCCCACACAUCCCCCAAAUUCUUAAGAAAACGACUAUAUAACUGUCCAUACAUUAGGUAAGCAUGGGGGGGGGGAGGAGAGAGACCCUGAAUUGUGCACGUAACACAAGCAAGGGAGUAGGUAGGUCUUGAAAAAUCACCCCAAAAUGUGUUAUAGAAUGUAUGGACAGCCCCCAACUCACUAGCGAUACCUCAGGGCUUUGCCACAACAACAAAUAUGGGCUUUGGCUAGAUUAAGAUGUAAAGGUUUGUUAGAUCUGGUAGCUACUUUGAUCAAAUUUAAACACACCACUUGAAAUUCUGGUCAAGAAAAGGCCAACUUUACUUUAGCAAAUGCUAAACUGGUGCAGUUGAAGUGCUUGAUAAAAUACAGCAUGCCUUGUCUUGACCAGUUUUAGGAGGUGUUCCUUAGAACAAGCUUGCUAAUAUGACCUAACAAAUCUUUAAAUCCUAGUCUAAACAAAAGCUUUAGAAAAUCUCUUCUUCACUGACUUAUAUAGGUACCAGUCAAAACUAGUAGUCCUCUUAAAGCAGCAGCCCUCAUGGUGGUUUUCAGUUGAAAUAAAAUGCUAACUUCUUAAAGGUUAGACUCAGAGGUAGUAUGGUAGAAAAAAUAUUUAAGAUGGGCUUUUCAGUGAAGUCAAAGGGAAUUAGACACAUCUCAACUCCCAAUGAAUUUGCCUGACUCCAUUAGACUCCAAUGAAAGUCUCAGCUGUAAUCACUAUUUGAAAUCUAAGGAUUCAAUCCUACAGGAUUCAUAUGCAAUCCCACAGCUGUUACCUAUGCCGAUACCAAGAUGUUUGAGGGUAGUUUAGAGAACUACUUCCAAUACACUGGCAAGGAACAAGUUCUCCCAGACUCAAAGGAAAAAAGAUUAUAUCUGAAGAUUAAAAAGGCAAGGUGUAUACAUUAUUUCCAUAUCACCUUGAUAUCUGCUCAACAACUCAGGCUAAAAGAUGGAGCUGACAACACUGAAGUUCUUUGAUCAAGAAGUCUAAAUUGAUGUUACGCUGGGCAGUCUUUAACAGUGUUUUAUGGCAUUUUAAAAUUGGAAAGAAGGUUUUUGAGAAGAUGACUGCUGAAAACAGACCACAGGUCCAAACAGAUGUUAUGUAACCAGCCAGUCUCUGGUACUAUCUGCUAUUGAUUCAGAGCUCAAAAGGGAAUAUUAGCAUUUAGAUGAAACUUCAUGGAAGUUUGUAGUAAAUUUUCUAUGAACUAAUUAAUGGAUAAUUACUUUAUGCUGAUGAAUGCAACUAUUAUCUGUAUAUACAUAGGAAACAGAGGUUUUACUUCAAAGUCACAAUGCUCUUCACCUAAGGAAUGCCUGCUGUCAAGAGGCUAUCAAUGUUUUGCCAGAGAUCUAUAAAAGAACUAAGGCCCUGAUCCUGUUAUCUCAGAUCUGCUUAAGCUUGGUCAGUGGAAGCUUGAGACACAAAACUGAGGUCUCCAGUGCCAGUCUGGAUUACCCUAUUUUUCAUGGAAGAAUUUAUACAGACUCUGCAUAUGGACUUGCCUAUUGGAUUAUAGCCUACAGAACUGAUUCUGAAAGAACUUUUUGCAACUCAGCAGCUCACCAUCUCUAACGUGAAAUUGACCUAAAAACUUUAUAGACAUGUUAUAUAUGAAUAAUGAUCUUUUAACCACAAUACUCUCUCUUUUCUUUUUAAAUAAAACUUAGUUAAUAAG